CCCCUUACAUCGCCCUGCAUGGCUGUGCUCAGCACCGUGGCCCGGUAACCCAGGGCCUCAGCUUGCCUCUGAGCCUCGGCCAGGGCCAGAGAAUUGGAGCCGAUGAUCACAUUGAGGACGUGACCACAGGCUUCGUCCGUCCCAGGACUUUCCAGACCGGGCCCCUGCCAUCUCAUAUGUUGGCCUAAGCUCGCAUCUCCCUGUCACGCGCUGGGAACCCAGGGCUGACUGGAGAGGUGACUCGCGCACCUGAGCAGGAUAGGCGGCCUGAGCCAGGCCUCCACCCUUCAGCUGGGACAGGGCUUUGCGGAUGGUGUUCAGCUCCUGGAUUGUGGCUCCCCGGGCGGCCAGCAGCUUGCUGCUCCCACACCUGAGAUGAGCACGAGUAGCAGGUCGUCAGCAGAGAGCCCCUCUGCCAGCUGCUGGAUGGCCAGUGCAGCGCGGAGGGCGUCCCGGUCCGCGUGUUCCAUGGCAGCUCGGAUCCCCUUGGGCACGCUGAUGACACCCUGCACAAGAUGCUGGCCCAGCAGCUCCUCAGCUGCAGCCGCCAUGCCCAGCACAGCCUUGCCGAAGCCCACCAGCCGUGUAGCCAUAGCUGCCUAGGGAGGGAGGAGAAGGAGUGAGGCCGCGGACAGAACCCCACCAUCAUGGGCACCCCUCUGAGGGCUCAGGACCGGCCUGGCGGGCUCCAUAACCUGAAGUGAAACCUGAAGAACUCCUGAAGCCUGCAGCAGACCUGAUCUGAUGCCAGUCCUGAUGCCCAGCCCUGAUGCCCAGCUGCGUCCUCCUCUGCUGCGGGCCACACACCAGUCUUCUGGACACUCUGCCCCAAGUCCAAAGUUCCUGUUCAAUGGACCUUCCUCUGAGGUCACCUCCUUUGCCUGGGAGUUAAUCAUUCACGAAGGAAGCCAUUCCUCCCAGUGGGCCAUGUCCCAUUCUUUUCCCACAUCCUGUACUUCUAAAGCUCGCACACCAAGGCAGUGCCCCUUUCUGGCAUUUAUGCCUUCCCACUUUACCACUUCUACCGCCAAAAAAAAAACAAAAAAAACAAAAAAAAAAAAGUUGUCUAGCCAACUGAUCUCCAAGUCCAUUGACCUCUAGCCUGCUCUACUCUGUCAGGUAAGACCAGUCUGGCUAUGCUGGGUCCACGUGGAAAGGCUGCAGGUUUCAGUGCACACCACCUGAGGAAGCUCAGUACUCAGGCUAGAGCAGCAAGUGGUCCAGGCACAGAUCCAGGGUAACUACAAGAUCUGGCUCAACGUGAGGUCUUCGGCAAGUCCUCAGGUUAUAUGCAAAAGGACAUGUGCUAUGGGGCUCAAUGCACAGGACAAGAAAAGACACCCUUGUAACCCACACAGCUGGUCACGAUCAGCCUUGCCAAGAACACCCCUUCUGGCUCCAUGAUAGCAAAACAAGUCCUGAGUUACACCACUCACAGCAAAAGCAGCCUGGUGCUAGAACAGGCAAAGGCCAGGUUCCAGUGACGAUGCCCAAACAAUCAUUUUCCCCACUGGGCAGAGUGAAAACCAGGAAGGUCUUGGGGUAAAGGUCAGGAAGCUACAGGGUAAAUAUAGGAGAAAUAAAGGACUCAUUUGUAAAAAGGUGUCUGCGUUCAGGGACAGGAGGGCACUGAAGAAUGACCCGGGCUUGACCAUGUAACAAGAAAGCAUUCUACCACUGAGCUCCAUUCAAACCCCUAAAAAAGCAGAAAGACAGCCGUAUCCAUAGCAUGGGUGGAAGAGGGCGGAGUCUAGGGAUUGGGGUUCUAGCCUCUUUAAAGUGUGUAAUAAAUCUUUUCUCACAUUGAGCUCAUUUGCAAGACGCGGGAUGCAAGGAAGCCUAACUCUUAGGGAACUUGAAAGUGUCAUUCUGCGGGGCGUGGUGGCGCACGCCUGUAAUCCCAGCACUUGGGAGGCAGAGGCAAGUGGAUUUCUGAGUUCGAGGCCAGCCUGGUCUACAGCAUGAGUUCUAGGGCAGCCAGGGCUACACAGAGAAACCCUGUCUCAAGAAACCAAAACAAACAAACAAACCAAAAAAAAGUGUAGUUCUGUGGGAGAGACAGUCCUACCAUGAAUAAA